rnacentral:rRNA from 1 species
AGUGAACGCUGGCGGUAGGCCUAACACAUGCAAGUCGAACGGCAGCACAGUAAGAGCUUGCUCUUACGGGUGGCGAGUGGCGGACGGGUGAGGAAUACAUCGGAAUCUACUUUUUCGUGGGUGAUAACGUAGGGAAACUUACGCUAAUACCGCAUACAACCUACGGGUGAAAGCAGUGGAUCUUCGGACCUUGCGCGAUUGAAUUAGCCGAUGUCGCAUUAGCUAGUUGGCGUGGUAAAGGCCCACCAAGGCGACGAUCCGUAGCUGGUCUGAGAGGAUGAUCAGCCACACUGGAACUGAGACACGGUCCAGACUCCUACGGGAGGCAGCAGUGGGGAAUAUUGGACAAUGGGCGAAAGCCUGAUCCAGCCACACCGCGUGGGUGAAGAAGGCCUUCGGGUUGUAAAGCCCUUUUGUUGGGAAAGAACAGCAGCAGGUUAAUCCACGGCUGUUCUGACGGUACCCAAAGAAUAAGCACCGGCUAACUUCGUG